CGAGCGAGUCUGCCUUGAAGAUCGGAGUGCUUGCACUCUGUGAAACAAGAUACAGGCUAGCGGCGGACGGGUGAGUAACACGUGGGUAACCUGCCCAAAAGAUCGGGAUAACACCUGGAAACAGAUGCUAAUACCGGAUAACAACAGAUGAUGCCUAUCAACUGUUUAAAAGAUGGUUCUGCUAUCACUCUUGGAUGGACCUGCGGUGCAUUAGCUAGUUGGUAGGGUAACGGCCUACCAAGGCGAUGAUGCAUAGCCGAGUUGAGAGACUGAUCGGCCACAUUGGGACUGAGACACGGCCCAAACUCCUACGGGAGGCAGCAGUAGGGAAUCUUCCACAAUGGACGCAAGUCUGAUGGAGCAACGCCGCGUGAGUGAAGAAGGGUUUCGGCUCGUAAAGCUCUGUUGUUGGUGAAGAAGGACAGGGGUAGUAACUGACCUUUGUUUGACGGUAAUCAAUUAGAAAGUCACGGCUAACUACGUGCCAGCAGCCGCGGUAAUACGUAGGUGGCAAGCGUUGUCCGGAUUUAUUGGGCGUAAAGCGAGUGCAGGCGGUUCGAUAAGUCUGAUGUGAAAGCCUUCGGCUCAACCGGAGAAUUGCAUCAGAAACUGUCGAGCUUGAGUACAGAAGAGGAGAGUGGAACUCCAUGUGUAGCGGUGAAAUGCGUAGAUAUAUGGAAGAACACCGGUGGCGAAGGCGGCUCUCUGAUCUGUUACUGACGCUGAGGCUCGAAAGCAUGGGUAGCGAACAGGAUUAGAUACCCUGGUAGUCCAUGCCGUAAACGAUGAGUGCUAAGUGUUGGGAGGUUUCCGCCUCUCAGUGCUGCAGC
rnacentral:rRNA from 1 species